GAUGAACGCUGGCGGCGUGCUUAACACAUGCAAGUCGAGCGAGAAAAGUUCUUCGGAGCUUUUCUAGCGGCGGACGGGUGAGUAACACGUGGGCAACCUGCCUCAUAGAGGGGAAUAGCCUUCCGAAAGGAAGAUUAAUACCGCAUAACAUUGUUGAAAGGCAUCUUUUAACAAUCAAAGGAGCAAUCCGCUAUGAGAUGGGCCCGCGGCGCAUUAGCUGGUUGGUGAGGUAACGGCUCACCAAGGCGACGAUGCGUAGCCGACCUGAGAGGGUGAUCGGCCACAUUGGAACUGAGACACGGUCCAGACUCCUACGGGAGGCAGCAGUGGGGAAUAUUGCACAAUGGGGGAAACCCUAAUGCAGCAACGCCGCGUGAGUGAUGAAGGUCUUCGGAUUGUAAAGCUCUGUCUUUAGGGACGAUAAUGACGGUACCUAAGGAGGAAGCCACGGCUAACUACGUGCCAGCCGCCGCAGUAAGAC
rnacentral:rRNA from 1 species